rnacentral:rRNA from 1 species
AACGAACGCUGGCGGCGUGCCUAACACAUGCAAGUCGAGCGAGAAAGCCCGCAAGGGUGAGUAAAGCGGCGCACGGGUGCGUAACACGUGGGUAAUCUGCCCUAGAGUCUGGAAUAACUCGCCGAAAGGCGUGCUAAUGCCGGUGAGACCACGGGAGCCUCGGCCCCUGCGGGAACAGGUGGCCUCUGCAUCCAAGCUCUCGAGCUAGGGUGAGCCCGCGGCCCAUCGGCUAGUUGGCGGGGUAAUGGCCCACAAAGGCAACGACGGUUAGCUGGUCUUAGACGACGAUCAGCCACACUGGAACGGAGACACGGUCCAGACUCAUACGGGAGGCAGCAGUGGGGAAUCUUGCGCAAUGGGCGAAAGCCUGACGCAGCAACGCCGCGUGUGUGAUGAAGGUCUUCGGAUCGUAAAGCACUGUCGCGAGGGACGAAUAAGGGUCGGGUGAACAAUCCGGUCCGAUGACGGUACCUCGAGAGGAAGCACCGGCUAACUCUGUGCCAGCAGCCGCCGUAAGAC